rnacentral:rRNA from 1 species
AGUGAACGCUGGCGGUAGGCCUAACACAUGCAAGUCGAACGGCAGCACAGUAAGAGCUUGCUCUUACGGGUGGCGAGUGGCGGACGGGUGAGGAAUACAUCGGAAUCUACUUUUUCGUGGGGGAUAACGUAGGGAAACUUACGCUAAUACCGCAUACGACCUACGGGUGAAAGCAGGGGAUCUUCGGACCUUGCGCGAUUGAAUGAGCCGAUGUCGGUUUAGCUAGUUGGCGGGGUAAAGGCCCACCAAGGCGACGAUCCGUAGCUGGUCUGGCAGGAAGAUCAGCCACAUGGGAACUGAGACACGGUCCAGACUCCUACGGGAGGCAGCAGUGGGGAAUAUUGGGCAAUGGGCGCAAGCCUGAUCCAGCCAUACCGCGGGGGUGAAGAAGGCCUUCGGGUUGUAAAGCCCUUUUGUUGGGAAAGAAAAGCAGCAGGUUAAUACCCCGCGGUUCUGACGGUACCCAAAGAAUAAGCACCGGCUAACUUCGUG